rnacentral:rRNA from 1 species
CUUGACCUCGGAUCAGGUAGGGAUACCCGCUGAACUUAAGCAUAUCAAUAAGGCGGAG